UGCGGUGCAUUAGCUAGUUGGUAAGGGCAACGGGCUUACCGAGGCAAUGAUGCAUAGCCGAGUUGAGAGACUGAUCGGCCACAUUGGGACUGAGACACGGCCCAAACUCCUACGGGAGGCAGCAGUAGGGGAAUCUUCCACAAUGGACGCAAGUCUGAUGGAGCAACGCCGCGUGAGUGAAGAAGGGUUUCGGCUCGUAAAGCUCUGUUGGUAGUGAAGAAAGAUAGAGGUAGUAACUGGCCUUUAUUUGACGGUAAUUACUUAGAAAAGUCACGGGCUAACUACGUGCCCAGCAGCCGCGGGUAAAUA
rnacentral:rRNA from 1 species